UACGUAGGGGGCAAGCGUUGUCCGGAUUUAUUGGGCGUAAAGAGCGUGUAGGCGGCCUUACAGGUCAGCUGUGAAAACUCGAGGCUCAACCUCGAGACGUCGGUUGAAACCGUAUGGCUAGAGUCCGGAAGAGGAGAGUGGAAUUCCCGGUGUAGCGGUGAAAUGCGUAGAUAUCAGGAGGAACACCAGCGGCGAAGGCGGCGCUCUGGGCCGGUACUGACACUGAGGAGCGAAAGCGUGGGUAGCAAACAGG
rnacentral:rRNA from 1 species